CUUGCUGGUAUGCCUGGUUUCCUAAUUAAUCUUUAUACUCCAGAUCAUACACCUCGAUCUCUUUUUCAUCGUCCCCGCCCCUCUGGAAGAGGCCUUGUUACAGAAAGCCGAGCAGCUUUGUAACCGCGGAUAGCAGCUAGCCCGCGCAUGCUAUAGCAUAAGGUUGGAUUCACGGAGGUAUAGAUAGAUGGCUGGAAAAGUAUAGAGACGUUCGGAGCGAGAAAUCGUCGACUGCAUAAACUCCGGUCUGCGUGUUGAUUUGUUCGAUGAGAUCGAAGCCGUCUGUCGCGGUGGCAUACAAAUCGAUUCUAAGAAUGCUAGAUAAAUACAAUGCGGAUUUAAACUAGAUUAUUAUAAUCUAUCUGAAAACCAUAAACAUCUACCCCCCGUUACAACGACUCCACAUCCUAUAAAUACAUCUUUAACAGAUGCAUGGGACCUGAAAACUGGACCCCUGCAGGUUUUUUGCACGUUUUUCGGUCAUAGUAUUUGAUCGAUAUAGUAGUUGAGAGGUG
rnacentral:lncRNA from 7 species